UCUGGGUGGAUGACAGCAGGCGGAGGAGGAAGGGGGAUGGAUACUAUUGGCUAACUAGCUAAUGGAAGCAUACCUCAUGGAACUUCGUAAUAUCUUGUUGAGAAAGCUCCUGGCCACAUGGACAUCAGUCUCAGAGGGCAUUUUUCCAGUAGCUACUAAAUCCACCAUUGUCAUAUUCCUGCCGACAGGGGAGGAGGAACACAGGCUGAAACGCUGAACCAUACAACUACACAACGAACAGCUGACUGAAGACGGGACGACCUCUGUUUCCGCGGACAUUUCUAAGUGUCCCCAAACUGAGGAAGACAGUGAUUGGGAGGAGCAGCAGGAGGCGAAAUCAACUAAUGUCUGAGGAAGACAGUGAUUGGGAGGAGCAGCAGGAGGCGAAAUCAACUAAUGUCUGAGGAAGACAGUGAUUGGGAGGAGCAGCAGGAGGCGAAAUCAAUUCAUGUCGUCACUAAAUAUUUCUUAAUGAUCUGGAUUUGUAU